GCUCACAAUCUGACUUCGAAAGAAGCAUACAUUUUUGUAAAGGUGUUUUUUUUUUCUGUUGAAGUAAUAGGAGAAAUAAAGGUAAUAUCGAAAUAAAAAAAAGAAAUUUAUUACAGAAAUCGCUAAAAUUUUACAAUAAUUUAGUUUAAGUACAGCUUAUAUGGAAACUAUAUUAAAAAAGAUAGGUCACCGAUGAGUUGAAAAAGAUAUUUCAAUUUUAGAGCCAAAAAUGGCAUUUUUCCAAUAAAGGGAGAUAAUUUGGAACUUUUUCAAUGAUGUAUACAUUUUGAAAGUCAUCUGGGGCCAACACGAAUUGAUUGUUUUGAAUGAUUUUUGUACCAUAUGAUAAAGUAACAACUACAAAAGGAAAUAAAUAAAAUUUGUAAUGAAAAUAUAAUGUUUGAUUUUUUUCUGAAAUUUUUAUACCCUCGAGCCUCCUUAAACCAAA
rnacentral:lncRNA from 1 species